GGGUGCUUGGCUCAGUGGUUAGAGCGUUCGCCUCACACGCGAAAGGUCGUUGGUUCAAAUCCAACAGCACCCACAA
rnacentral:tRNA from 1 species